GUCAUCACGAACCACUGAGAGGGAAGCCUCCAAGAUCCUAGAGCGGAGCACCAGGUGCCUGGGGAGAGGUUCCGCGGAAAUCGACUUCUCCAGGCCAGCGUGGGCGUCAAACGGUCCGUCGGCUCAUCAAAUCACUGUUUUCCGGGAUGGAGGUUUGCAGACAGAGUCAUCUGGGUGGAGAACACUCUUCUGGGAUCAGCACUGAAGUGAUGCCAUGUCCCACCCAGACCAGCACAACUAUGGUGACUCCUGGCCUUAAAUAAGGAGUUGUUUCAAAGCAGAGUUUUCCAGAAGAAGUCUAACACACAAGGGAGAUGUUCAGAAGACUAAUGGGAACAUCAUCAGGGUCUCCACACUUGGACAGGUUCAUGGGCUUCUGAAUAAUUUACCGAAGUGAGGGAGGAGCCCCUCUGAGGACGCACAAAUUACAUUGCCUCAAGCCAUGGAGAAUAUCAGUCUGAUAAAAAGAGGCCUAAGACACCUGGGUGAAUUCACUCCGAAGUUCAGUCCUGUGAGUGCUCUGGGCGUGGGAAGUUCUCCAUUCAGCUUGUGCACAAUUUCCAACUUCAACUGUAAUGAAAGAAGCAGCUUCUCAUUGUAAAGAGGGUGGAAGUCAUUGAUCCAAAAAUAUCCCUUCCUAAUAAAACAAAGCCUAACACACAAGCAGCCCGGACCAAGCACCAGUAUGUCCAAACUUAAAGAAAGCCCUAUAGAUCCUCAACCUGGAAUGACCUUCAGUGUAAACCCAAGUCUCAUUAAACAACAGAGAAGCCAUCCUGAGAAGAGUUUCAUGAGAAUAAAGAAUGUGGCAAAACCUUCAGACCCUGUGGAGUGAUCUUGUCAGACAUCAGAGAACCCUUAGUGAUAUCUUCAGUGUCAGAAGCCUUCUGUCUGAGCCCAAGUCUAAUUAAACAUAAGCAAAUUCAUUUUGGACAGGAGCCUUAUCUGUCAUGAGUGUGGCAAAGCUAAGUUCUCUAAUAGCCUUGCUAAACAUCAGAGAAUCCACACUGAAGAGAAAACUUAUCA